UUUUAAUGAUAAUUGGUGCUUAAAAAGUUGAUUUAUUGUAUUUUAGGUACAAAUUGAAGAAUUGGAAAAGUAUGGGGUCAAAACUGCAAUUUUGGCAAAAAUAUGGGUCAAAAGUGAAAAUAUCAAAAUUCUGAAGAAACAAGGCUCGGACCCCCGUCCCAGUUUUAGUGCAAAUUAUGGGACCCCCGUCCCAUACCCCGAAGUUGCGCAGUAAAGGAAUUUUAAUUGCACAAGGAAACUGCCUUCUUCCCCAAGUUCUUCACCCUAUAUAAGACCAAUCCAAGCACACAAUUAGG
rnacentral:lncRNA from 1 species